AGCAUAUCAAUAAGCGGAGGAAAAGAAACCAACAGGGAUUGCCUCAGUAACGGCGAGUGAAGCGGCAACAGCUCAAAUUUGAAAUCUGGCCCUCUCGGGGUCCGAGUUGUAAUUUGUAGAGGGUGUUUCGGGCGCGAUGCCGGUCUAAGUUCCUUGGAACAGGACGUCGUAGAGGGUGAGAAUCCCGUGUGCGACCGGCGAUCAAGCCCGUGCGAAGCCCCUUCGACGAGUCGAGUUGUUUGGGAAUGCAGCUCAAAAUGGGUGGUAAAUUUCAUCUAAAGCUAAAUAUUGGCCAGAGACCGAUAGCGGACAAGUAGAGUGAUCGAAAGAUGAAAAGCACUUUGGAAAGAGAGUCAAACAGUACGUGAAAUUGUUGAAAGGGAAGCGCUUGCAAUCAGACCGGUCCGGAGGCGAUCAGCCGCUGCUCGUCAGCGGUGCACUCGCCUGCGAUCCGGCCAGCAUCGGUUUGGGCGGCGGGAUAAAAGGCCCGGGAAUGUAGCUUCCUUCGGGGAGUCUUAUAGCCCGAGUCGCAAUGCCGCCCGCCCGGACCGAGGACCGCGCUUCGGCUAGGAUGCUGGCGUAAUGGUUGCAAGCGACCCGUCUUGAAACACGGACCAAGGAGUCUAACAUCUAUGCGAGUGUUUGGGUGUCAAACCCAGGCGCGGAAUGAAAGUGAACGGAGGUGGGAACCCGUCAGACGGCGCACCAUCGACCGAUCCAGAUGUCUUCGGAUGGAUUUGAGUAUGAGCAUAGCUGUUGGGACCCGAAAGAUGGUGAACUAUGCCCGGAUAGGGUGAAGCCAGAGGAAACUCUGGUGGAGGCUCGCAGCGGUUCUGACGUGCAAAUCGAUCGUCAAAUCUAGGCAUAGGGGCGAAAGACCAAUCGAACCAUCUAGUAGCUGGUUCCUGUCGAAGUUUCCCUCAGGAUAGCAGUAACGUUUUCAGUUUUAUGAGGUAAAGCGAAUGAUUAGAGGCCUUGGGGCUGAAACAGCCUUAACCUAUUCUCAAACUUUAAAUAUGUAAGAAGUCCUUGUUACUUAGUUGAACGUGGACAUUUGAAUGCACCGUUACUAGUGGGCCAUUUUUGGUAAGCAGAACUGGCGAUGCGGGAUGAACCGAACGCGAGGUUAAGGUGCCGGAAUGCACGCUCAUCAGACACCACAAAAAGUGUCAAUUCAUCCAGACAGCCGGACGGUGGCCAUGGAAGUCGGAAUCCGCUAAGGAGUGUGUAACAACUCACCGGCCGAAUGAAUUGGCCUUGAAAAUGGAUGGCGCUCAAGCGUGCUACCCAUACCUCGCCGCCAGGGUAGAAACGAUGCCCU
rnacentral:rRNA from 1 species